rnacentral:misc_RNA from 1 species
AUUUACAGGACAGGAAGGAGCGCCGAAGUAUACUGGAAAAGAAACUUGCAGAUGCUGACGUCUCAGAGGAAGAUCAAAAUAAUCUACUGAAAUUUCAUGAAAAGAAGGAAACAGAAUACAUGCGUCUGCAAAGGCACAAAAUGGGAGCUGAUGAUUUUGAGUUACUAACAAUGAUUGGAAAGGGUGCAUUUGGGGAGGUAAGAGUUUGUAGGG